rnacentral:rRNA from 1 species
GACGAACGCUGGCGGCGUGCCUAACACAUGCAAGUCAACUUGACUGAAGGAGCAAUCUGACAGUAGAGUGCGCAAGGGUGCGUAACGCGUAAGUAACUUGCCCAAGGUAAGGAAUAACGUCGAGAAAUCGGCGCUAAUACCUCAUAAUGCAGCGGAUCCGCAUGGAUGUGUUGUUAAAGGUUUACCGCCUUGGGAUAGGCUUGCGUCUGAUUAGCUAGUUGGUGUGGUAACGGCACACCAAGGCUACGAUCAGUAACUGGUACUGAGAGGAUGAUCAGUCACACUGGAACUGAGACACGGUCCAGACUCCUACGGGAGCAGCAGUGAGG